rnacentral:rRNA from 1 species
UACGUAGGGUGCGAGCGUUGUCCGGAAUUAUUGGGCGUAAAGAGCUUGUAGGCGGUUUGUCGCGUCUGCUGUGAAAUCUCAAGGCUCAACCUUGAGCUUGCAGUGGGUACGGGCAGACUAGAGUGUGGUAGGGGAGACUGGAAUUUACGGUGUAGCGGUGAAAUGCGUAGAUAUCGUAAGGAAGACCAGUGCGAAGGCGGGUCUCUGGACAGUUCCUGACGCUGAGGCACGAAGGUCAGGGGAGCAAACGGG